ensembl:lncRNA
GUGCAUCCAAAGAGACAAAGUCAGUCACUUCCUCCACCAGUAAACAGCCUCAACACUUCACACAUCAAUUGCUGUUUUCUGUGGUCUUCGCCAAGGAAAACUGAAAAUUUUCAAGAAAUUUCAUGGUGUCAGAUGGUAAAAAGGUAUUUUUUUGCGCUUUCAUUGAAAUUAGUUCCAGUUUAAAGGGACAAUUUCUAGUUGAGAUUCAAGAUUCAAAACAAUGAAUGCAACAGUUUGCAUCAGUGUAGUUGAGUUAUGAAAACUUCUACAGUAAUUACUACACUGAGUGAAGGGAAUUAGCUGCACUACUUUAAAUGACUUCAUACUUGACAGCAUCAGCACAGGUUUUGAAGGUUUUUAUGACUUGGAAUCAAGUUAUUGAGCCAAUUUCAUUAAUGUACUACAACUUGGAAUGCGAUUUAAAUCAAUUAACACAGAAAUUUGAGUUUAAAUUACAGACAUCCAGGGCUGUGAAAAGUUAUUUGCCCCCCUUCAGGAACCUUCUAUUUUUGCAUAUUUGUCACAUUUAAAUGUUUCAGUAUAAAAACCUCCAUGAACAUUUUGCUGCAGCGUUACAAACCAGUGUGAGGAAACGACUCUUUAAAUUUUAUAGUUGUAGUUGUGUUUUUAGAACUGAUUAUCAGUGAACACAAAAAUCAGUUUAAUGGCUUUUUAUGAGCAAGGGAGAGAAAAAAACAUCCAGGACAAAGGUGAUGUGUGAUAAACACAGUGCUGUAAGAAAGUAUUUGCCCCCCUACAGAAAUCUGGAGUUUUUGCAGGGACUAAAUGAAAUAUGCUGAUAAAAAGACCCAUUUUAAAUGUAUUAUUGAAUCAGGUUUAUCUAAAUUGAGUUAACAAGUGAUAUUACAGCUACAGGUUGAAAUAAGAGCUACUGAAAUCAUUGGAUUUCUCUCAAAUGUUCAGAAUUUGAGGGGAAAUCUACUUUAAGUUUGCCCCACUACAGAAAUCUUUUAUUUUUGCAUAUUUGCCACAGUUAAAUAUUUCAGAUCAUCAAACUAUUUUUUAUUAUAAGACAAGGAUAACCCACAAAAACACAAAAUGCAGUUUUCAAAUCAUGAUUUCAUUUAUUGAGGGAAAAAUAUUGUCCAGCUCAUCUUGCCCGAUGUGAAAAAGUAAUUGCCCCCUUAGCUACCAAUCUACCAAAUGACCAAAUUCAUUCAUCAGUUGGGUUCAGUUUCUCCAUCCACACUCACAUAUGAUUACUGCCAGGCUUGUUGAACCUAAACAUCACUAAAUAGAACCUGUCUUCAUUGUGAAGUAGCUAAAGGCUCUGAAAAAGCAGCACAUGAUGCCACGUUCUAAAGAGAUUCAAGAACAGAUGAGGAACAAAGUCAUUGACAUUCAUCAGUCUGGAGGGUUCCAAAGCCAUUGCUGAGGCUCUGGGACUCCAGAGAACCAAUGAUGGCUCAACCUGUUAUUAGGUUUAGGGGGGCAAUUACUUUUUCAUAGGGCUGAUACUGGUUUUCAGUAAAUCAUCAUUUCAAAAUUGUAGUGUUUUGUGGAUUAUCUCUGUCUAAUAUUCACUCAAUAUAAAUAUUAGUUUCUUGACCUGGAACAUUUGAGUGUGAGAAAUAUACGACAAUCAAAGAAAUUUCACAGCUCUGUAUUUUGCAGAUGGUGUUUAAAUGAUGUUCUUUCUCCAUCCUCCAGCAGGUCGACAACUGAGUCCAACACAUCAUGGAGAACAGUUCCAUCAGUUUGGAAUCCAUCCAGGAGGCAGCAAUGCUCAGAUCAGGUGUUGUCGGAAACCCGUACCUGGCAGGAGGAUACCUGAUAGGAAGCUCCCUGCUGGGCUUCCUCAUCAUCAUCGGGGCCUUCUUGUACAAUCAACGCAAUCUCAGUCUUUUUAAAAGAUCCUGCAUCAUAUCCUUCACCUGCCAGGAAAACAGCCUCAUGGGUCUUCAACUCGUCUACAGCUGUCUGUUGACUCUGCUCACCAUGGAUGCUCUGAAUCUGAUCGUGGCAAUAAUCUUGGGAGCUACACUGGUUGCAUUGUCCUGCGAUGUAAUCAACUGUGUUCUGGCUGAAAACAUCUGGUUCCUGUCCAGGUGGUUUGGAGUGAUUAUUCAUCUUGUGAACGCCUCGUUGUCCAUCUAUAAUCUGCAUCAGCCACUGAGUGUAGCCAGGGUUCGCAUCGCCUACUCAUUGGUUUCUGUGGUGAUUAUCAUUAUGGUCCCACUUUUUCUGUAUGUCUACAACGUGCCCACAUUCACUUUGGCCGCUUUCAUGUUUCUGUUUGCUCUGUCCAUCAUUGUAGCAUCUAGAAGGCCUACCUUGUCCCCGUCCACUUCCACCCUGAAGAAACUGAUCAUGGUUGUUGCAAUGUGCAACUUCCUGGUUGUCUACGUCCCCACUUUCAUUCUUCAGUGCCUCGUGUACACCGCAGCCAAUGUUACCGACUUAGCGAAUUACCAAAAUAUUUAUUUUAAUGUUCUGUAUUUCACAAACCUUCAUCUCAUUUUCGAUGGACUCCAGUGUGCUUUGUUCCUGAAAUUGCCUUCUGGAGAAGAACAGCAACAGCAGCAACAACAACUGCAAGAGUGGCGCCAACAACAGUGGGAGCCACAACAGCAACAACAGUGGCGUCAACAAGAGCAACAACAGUGGCGUCAACAACAGUGGCAACCACAACAGCAACAACAGUGGCGUCAACAAGAGCAACAACAGUGGCGCCAACAACAGUGGCAACCACAACAGCAACAACAGUGGCAGCCACAACAGCAACAACAGUGGCGCCAACAACAGUGGCAACCACAACAGCAACAACAGUGGCGCCAACAACAGUGGCAACCACAACAGCAACAAAAGCUGGGUUUCCAAAAUGCAGGAUUCACUGGUUCUACAAAUGUAUAUCAAUAAUGAUCAAAAUUAUGUCUCUGCACCAUAAAAAUCAAUGUACAUCCCAACCACUGGUGGAUAACCUAGCGUUGUUUCACAAUUCAGAAUUCUUGCUGUCCUCAUGGAUUGUAUCUGUUGGACAGAAGGGUGCAGCUCCUGCUUUAUUCAUAUAAACCCUGAAAUCACAGAUGAAAAUCACCAUUUCACCCUCUCUGUCUGACUUAAAAUCCAGCAUGAAGCAAGAAGAAAUGUGUAAAUACUUCCAUAAUGUACAGGCAGUGGAGAGCUGUAUAAAAUACAGUUUACGGAAAUAGCAGCAACUUUGAAAACUUUUCAAAAUGAAACAUCUGUUCAAUAUGUUGGUUUGUUCAAUUACUUAAAGGCGGAGGGCACAUCUGAAAUAUGUUGUAGUUCCUACAACGUUUACCUGAUCUGGAUGUAAAUACCUUCAAAAUUAAAGCUGAAAGUCUGUAACUAAAGCACAUCUGGAUUGUUUCAUUUAAUGUCUUGGUCAUUUUUUUGGAUUGGAAAGUGAGGGGGCAAUUACUUUUUCACAUGGACAGUGUUUUCUUCAAAAAAAUAAUAAAAUCAAUCAGUCAAUUGAAAACUGC